rnacentral:rRNA from 1 species
GAUGAACGCUGGCGGCGUGCUUAACACAUGCAAGUCGAACGGAAAGGCCCAAGCUUGCUUGGGUACUCGAGUGGCGAACGGGUGAGUAACACGUGGGUGAUCUGCCCUGGACUUUGGGAUAAGCUUGGGAAACUGGGUCUAAUACCGGAUAGGACCUCAUUUUGGAUGGUGUGGUGGGAAGUUUUUCGGUGGGGGAUGAGAUCGCGGCCUCUCAGCUUGUUGGUGGUGUAAUGGCCUCCCAAGGCGUCGUCGGGUAGCCGGCCUGCGAGGGUGUACCGCCACCUUGGGACUUGAGUUCGGGCCAGACUCCCUCCGGAGGCAGGAGUGGGGAAUAUUGCACAAUGGGCGCGAGCCUGAAGCAGCGACGGCGGGUGGCGGAUGACCGCCUUCGGGGUGUAAACUCGUUUCGCUAGGGACGAAACGUUGUGUGACGGUACCUGGAGAAGAAGCACCGGCUAACUACGUG